GAGAUUUGACAGCCCUAACCAAAACCCUUAAGAGGCCUCUGCGUUCUUUCUCUUUCGCCCUCCUCGUCUUUGUAUUUUAUCUUCCAUCAUCGUUCGUUCCUUGAAUCAAGAGGAGAUUGUAGAUUGGAAUUUAUGAAUUGGCUAUUGCGGCUCUAGAUGAGAUAGAGAAAGUGGCGAAAUCCGAUUCUAAAUUGGCGAGAAGAACCACGUUAGUUUGUAUGUAUCUCUUCAAAUUUGAUGUUUAAUUUUCAAAAAUUUUCUGUUUAGGUUUUAAACCGAUUAUAAUGGAAUUUUUUUGUGUUGUUUAGAGUUCUAAAUUAGGGUUCUUGAUUUGGGAAUUCGGUUAAUUGGGGAUUUUUGUCGAUUGGGGAAUUUGGUUGAUUUUUAUCAUGCGUGCAUUUGUUGAUUCCAAUGGGUUAUUUCGGGUUAAUUAUUAAACAUUUAAAGGUUCUGGAUCAAGUGGUUGUUCGGUGGUGAUGUUGAGUUUUAAUUUACUGUUUCUAUAUUGUUGUUGGUUUCUUUCAGUUUCUUGUUUCUAUACUGCUGCUAUGUGCUAUUUUGUUGCUCUUUGCUAUUCUGCUACUCUGUUCUAUAUUGGAUUUGGCAUUAGGAUGACAAUCAUAACAGUUACAUAUGGUUCUAGUCUAUAUGCUUGCUAGAAAAUCUCUCAGUGGUGUGAAAUGAUUGAGCACUUAAUCCCCAUUAUUCCAGUUAAAGUCCCAGUUAAAAGUUAAAAUACCUGCUUGUGGCAUAUUAACUUUUACCUAAUUUUUUUCCUUGGGAAUAAAUUCAUUCAUAGAGCACAAGACAGUGCCUUAAAACAAUGUAGAGCUCAAAGUCCUAGAAAGAAAAUUGUCAACCAUAGAGAACGUUAAUAGCCACAUAUCAGAACUCACGAAUUAGUAAAGCAAACCUAUGAAGUACGUUGAUCAUACUGUCAGGAGACACAACAUCAGUGAACUCCUGUAGGGAAGUUUCAACAACAGAAAAAUCAUUACUGAACAGAUUUACUAGAUGUUCUUCUAUUUGAUGAAGCUUCUGUCAAGUUCAAGGAAGUGUAGUAAGUAUAAUGCAUCACUAACAGGAAGAACGCGGUAUCAGGAACGACAUGCAAUAGAACAGACAAUGCUAAGUGAAUCAUGUGUUGCAAGCCCACACGCAAGCAUUUCAGCACCACUGAGAUAUUUGCUAGUCAGAGCCAAAUAUUAUGAUGUUAUCCUGAUAGAUGGUUCUAGUUUAUAUGCUUGCUAUGUUAUAUGUUAUCCUGAUGUUAUCCCGUAGAAUGAAAUUGUGCUUCAACACAUGUAUGAAUGUGUCUAUAUGUGAUUUGCUUGAUUUGAAUUAGUCGUGGCUGCUCUUUUCUGAUGGUAUUAUCUUUUUUUUAUGGAAGCUGGGAGUCAAUUUACCAUAAGAAAGAAAGUUUAGGGAGGUCUGUCCACCUCAAUUACAUCAGAAAUAAAGUCUGGUGGAAUAUCCGACAAAAUAACUUGGUUACACAUGACAUUAGUAGUUCUACAGUCCUUAGCUAAGCAAUCUGCUAAUCUGUUCCCAUCUUAUUGUUCAUACUCUAGUUUCAAAGAUUGAUUCCUUCUCAUAAGGUCCCUGCAAUGUUGUAUAAUCAAGUAAUUAACAUCUCGAGCUAUUGUGUAGACAGGGGUAGAUGAAGAAUGUGCUCUAGAAAAUUAGGACAUAAAACAUCCUUAUAAUCAAGCGGAAAAUAUUGACUGUAGACUGCAGAGUGCAAUCAACAUCAGAAACACAUAUUUUCUGUGCGAAAUGUUAGAUCUUGGUCAUGAGUUUGCUGGUCCAACAGUGAUUCCGUAUUCUGUCACUAUAGCAGAAGUGACUAAUCUAUAGAUGGUUGAUCUUCCCCUUUUGUUUUCUUUUGGGUAUAUGCAUGAAAAAUCUGACCAUGUGAUGUUACUGGGUUCUUUCUGUUAGAUACAUGGUUGCCAAAAAUCCUGGUGUAAAAUUGGUUGUCUUUGAGAAAAGUUACAGAACAUGUGUUUGAUUAACAUGGUAAUUCCUCCUGCUUAAAGCUAAGUUGAACUUAGACACAUGAAGAAUAUUUCCAUGGAUUAUGGAUUACUAUAUGUGAUUGUGAAUCUGUUAAGAACUCAAACUACAAACUGACAAGAAGUUUUUCUUGUUCAGGCAGAAAGAUCUCUUACACGUAUAAUUCAGGUUUUGUGAACUAAUCAAGUUUGUAGAUUUCAAUCAUCUAGUGAAUGAAACAACCACAGUUUGUCGUCUCCCGAUGCAUCUAACAGUUUUUGAUGUGUAACAACCGCACAUCAUUUCUACUUCUAGUAUGCAACUGGAAAACUUACUCUCUUUGGCCCGGCCCGCGCGCGGUUAGGAAGAUUGGCCGCAAUCUGAGCGGUACCACCCACCCUACCCUUUUUUUGUGGGGUUGGGGGUAUUGGAAGAAGGAUUGGUUUAGAUUUUUCUUUGAAGUUUCAAAAUAUCUUAAUUAGAGGAACAAAGAACCAGAACAUGCUUGUAAGCAAGACAGCAACAAAAGAAAAUUUCCAGCAUUUUGGUUGUUACAUUCUUAGAUUUACUUAUUCCUGUUGUUCUUUAUUAUCUGUUAUGUAGGGAUUGGCUUGUGGAGAAACUAAAGGAAGUAAAUGUAGCAGUUACAUUAUGUCCCAAUUAUUAAUGUCACUUAUGUUCUGGCUUAGGCAAUCAAGGUUUCCUAGCUAGUCCCGUGCACACUGCACCAUAGUUUUUCUACCUCUUGAGACAGAUCAGUAUCAUGCAACCAGACCUUUUUCUUACAUUAUGUGACACCUUUUCCUUUGGAGGUCCAUUGAAAUUUCCGUUUUUGCAAGGAAUUCUGAGUUCUUCAUAUCUCUAAAUUGACACCAUUGAUGCAAUAUAAAGCUUUUUCGUGGUUUAUUUGAGAUGUGGAAUAUGAAUGCAUAAACUUCUUACAUAUAUAUAUGCAAAAAAACAUUCCGGAAAAUGACGAUGUGAGCUGCAUCGACCUUUCGUGUCGAGGAAGGUAUGCUACGAUUUUGUUGUUCUCUUGGGGAAGAACGAGCAGCUUUUGAUCUGUUUAUUAAGCAGUGGGUUAUGCUGCUGAAAUUAAAACCUCCUAAAUAAAUCCUUGAGGUUGGGGAAAGGAAUACUAGGGCAAGGGAAUAUAUUGAAUAAAGCUAAAUGCUGACUCUGAGAAUUAUGGAAAUAGAGAGGAGUUGAUUUUCAAGAGGAGAGAAUAUAAAGCGAUAUGGGUAUAUUGCUGAUGAAAUUGUUUACAGUACUCUAGUACUACUCCCAAAUUAAAAAAAUGUCCUCGCACCUUCUAAUUGUCUCUUUCUUCCCUCCCCCCCCCCCCCAUUUAUCAUAUCCCCUUCCCUUAUUUUCUAACAAACUUUUGACGCAUGGUCUUGCAUUUUGCAUGAUAACGGAGUAAUAUAGUUAUUGACCUGCCUCUCAUUGAGAUCAUAUAUAGUAUGAGUGGAAAACAUUGACAUUAACAAACCCCAAACCUUAGUACUUGUUGUAUAUAAACUGGUGUUAUUGUUGUUCUUGUAUCACAACUCAGCUCUAUAGGUGUCGAACCUGGGCCGAGACCCUCGGAAUGGAAGGUCUAUUAAGAAAACUUAGAUGCCUAGUUCAUGCAUUAGUAAAUCUACUUCUGCAUUCAACAUUUGAAUUAUACUUGCCAUGUGCACUCGUCUAACGCCAAUGACUAUAACAAACCAAGCCCUGCCCGUGGUUUGAAUCCUGAUUAAUCCUAUGCUGUGUUUGGUAUUGUGGUCAAUGUUUCCCAAUCAUACUAUAUAUUCUAGGAUAGGAUUGGAUAGUCAUUUAAAUAAAAGUGUUUCAAGGUUAGAAAACAACUAUAGUCAAGUAUGUAUGAUCUUUCUUAUUUGUCUCUUUAUUCCUAAUUAAUUUCAAAUAAAUUAUUCAUAUGUAUAAUAUAUAAUUUUUUUUUAAUUCUACUUGAAUUGAAGCAUAUAAAUUUGAACUUACUCAAAACAGGCUUGCUAGGAACCUUCUGUUCAGGCUUGCUGGAGCUGCUGACUGUAGUCCUUUAUACAGGCUUGUUGUUUUUUCUAGUGUAUGUUAUGCAGUUCUUAUGCAGCUAUUGCUUUAUACUUGAUGCUUUGUUUUGCUGCUGCUGGUGCAUUGACGUUCUUGACUGCCUGGUGUAGCUGCUGCAUAUGAGCUACUGGUACUGUCUGCAUCAGUUGCUAUUCUUUGAUGCAGCUGCUGCACAUGGCUUGCUGGUGCUUUUGUGCAAUUUGGACUGUGUGCCUUAGGAAUUCCUUUAUAACCUGAAAUGUUGACUUCGUGUGUUUUGUUCCAAAGUUGACCAUGUUGGUUGUAUAUAACUCAAUCUGUUUACAACAAAGUAGUGUAUGGAACUUAUUGAACUUAUUUCUGGAUUUUAUAAACUGAUAUUGGAGCAUAUUUUUAUUUUAGUUAUCCUUCACAAAGAUACUUAAUGUUGUGAUACAGAACUUACUCUGACCUUUACUUUGCAAUUUGAAUUCAUUUGAGGCUUGCUGCUAUAGUGGUAGUGUUUACAUUUGUGAAGUUUCGAGGUGUGUGGUAUCCAAGUGCUCGGGUAGUAGGCCCGAGUUGCGGCGGAUUCAUUGAGGUAAAUUUCUCCUACUGACAGAAUUUGGGAAAAAUAUAUGAGCAAGUAGCUCCUGUAAAUCUGCAAUAUUCUUUUGGUUAGUUGUUUUCCUUACUGUUGAAUUUAAGCAAUCUGGAUGUUCAAGAUUUAUUUGGAUUUGUCCCAUGUAACCUGGAUGGAAAGAGAGAAAGAAGCUGAGAUGUGAUGUUGUAUUAAUAAAAUUAAUGUCUGUUUGCAGUGUUAUAUUAAUAAAAUUAAUGUCUGGUUUGCAGUGUUAAAUAAAGCUGAGAUGCAAUGUUAAAUUAAUGUUUGCUUUGCAGUCCAAUCAAUAUGAUAUUGAUUUGAAUAUGCAUGAAUGUAAAUUUCAGGUUAUUGGGAGUGUCAGUAGAUGAUCUGUUGGGACUAGCUAGCCGAACAGAACAAAGUAUCCCCAACAACUAGGCUUAUUGCUCACUAAUUGAAAAGGCAGAGCAUUUCAUCUACAUUGAGGAUGGUGCAUACAGUCAAGAAUUACGAGCUACUUUAAGUAUGUUGUGUUUUAUAGGGUUUUGGCGCACAUAAAUAUUAGAUAGGUUUUACAAAAUAAAUCUAAUGAUUAUUGUGAGAGUUUUUUAUUUUAAUAGAGGUAGUUCUAGAACAAUAUUUGUUUUAACUAGACAACUGGAAUAGAUGUAUAUUAUGCUUAUGAAUUUAAGUUAUUUGAAAUGUUUACUUUUUUUGAACUUAUGAGA